AACCCAAAUAUUUAUUUCACGAUGCUCGGUUGCAAUGUGUGGGUGAAUCAAUUAGUAAAUGUACUGUAUUUAUUAUUAUUUUUUUUUUUUUUUAAAUGUCAAGCAUCGGUCGUGUUAGACUCCACAGAGUGGAACUCCUGUCAUCUCAUCAUGUCAACAAACAGUAGGCAGUAGGCUGCUGCUGAAGCAGUGAGGUCACAGGGAGACAAUGUAGCCAGCCCAAGAUUGGACUUAGCUCACCCACGCUCUGCAACGCGUCCCUCUGUAUGCGGGUAACCAUGACUACCGUCUGCCAGGGCUGCACUCUCAACAGCUCCCUGGCUCCCACAAUCAGGGCAGCUGAAAGACAGCAGUAGGGACAGAGCUAUUGAACAAGAGAGGUGUUUGAACAGCAAGGUAAGAGACAGCUUCUCAUAUGGUAUACUUACUCGCUGAAGAUUCUGUUUUCUGGUUAUGUAAGUAUUUUGAAAAUGUUUAUUUGGCCAUUCUAAAGUAUUAGUUACUUCUUUGUGUGCUUAACAGUAGGCCACAUGUGAACUGUAUGUAGACGGAAUACAUUUACUCAGUUUACAGAAGGUUAAUUCACACAGAAAACAUUUAUUAUGCGUCCACAUUUGUUUUCCUUGUAAGUUUUUUUUUUUUUAUUCUAUUUGACUGCAACACAAACACAAGGCAUUUGGAGUCCAGUCAGUGGUGUUAUAAUUAACAUUUAAUUAACUGCACUGCAUUGUUAAAGAUUGGGUGUGAACUCAGAGCAGAACGAACAAACACUGGAAAAGUCAAGGCAUGUUUUUCCAUGAAUAGUCGUAAUAAUAGCAGACUACGAACUGCCACUAACAUGAGACUCAAUCAAUCCUUGUCCCCUUUUCCUCCCUCUGGUCAGGGCCUGUGGAUACAGUCUGUGGCGGAUGGACUUGGCCCAGCUAUGGGUGGGUGAGGACCGCGGCCUCUCCCACGUGAAAGGCAGUGAUGACUGGGGUGAUGAGUUAGGAGGACUGAGCGUUAAACCCUUCAGUCAUUCCCUCAUCCCGCUCAGAGACUCUAGUCCACUCGUCCUCGCCGAUCUGGACAUGUGGGACAGCAGGUCUCACUUUAAAUCUCAGUCCUCAGCAUGGAGUCUGGCAUGUAUGACUGGAGGGUUCCUCUCCAAAAUGAGCACCAGCACCUACGCUAAUGGCAGAGAUGGUGGCUUCAGCAGACAGAGUGACCCAGGGCUGGGUAAAAGAAGAUGGCAGUCGAUGUCUCGCCUGGCCCCUGAGGGUGCCCCCCGGUCCUUCUCCCCUGUCUCCCCAGGGGUUGAGCUGAGAGCAGCCCUGGAAGAGAGUGGCUUUAGGUAUGAGCCUUUAUAAUGCCUUAUAACAAGGUACUUAGAGAGACAUAACAUAUUAUAAGCCUUUAUAAUGCCUUAUUAUAAUGUAAUUAGAUAUACAUAACCUAAUGUAUUAUAAGCCUUAUAACAAGGUACUUAGAGAGACAUAACAUAUUAUAAGCCUUUAUAAUGCUUUAUUAUAAUGUAAUUAGAUAUACAUAACCUAAUGUAUUAUAAGCCUUAUAACAAGGUACUUAGAGAGACAUAACAUAUUAUAAGCCUUUAUAAUGCCUUAUUAUAAUGUAAUUAGAUAUACAUAACCUAAUGUAUUAUAAGCCUUAUAACAAGGUACUUAGAGAGACAUAACAUAUUAUAAGCCUUUAUAAUGCCUUAUUAUAAUGUAAUUAGAUAUACAUAACCUAAUGUAUUAUACGCCUUAUAACAAGGCAUUA
ensembl:lncRNA